rnacentral:rRNA from 1 species
GACGUAGGGCGCGAGCGUUGUCCGGAUUUAUUGGGCGUAAAGGGCUCGUAGGCGGCCAACUAAGUCAGACGUGAAAUCCCUCGGCUUAACCGGGGAACUGCGUCUGAUACUGGAUGGCUUGAGUUCGGGAGAGGGAUGCGGAAUUCCAGGUGUAGCGGUGAAAUGCGUAGAUAUCUGGAGGAACACCGGUGGCGAAGGCGGGUCUCUGGGCCGAUACUGACGCUGAGGAGCGAAAGCGUGGGGAGCGAACAGG